UUCGGCCAAAUCACGUUGAAAUACCGGUUGUUGUGUGAUCACCGAAGUUAAGCAACGUCGAGUUUGAUCGGUACCUAGAUAGGUGACCGCUUGGGAAUAGCAAGCGCUGUAAG